UACGUAGGCGGAAUAUUAAGUCAGAGGUGAAAUCCUGCAGCUCAACUGUAGAAUUGCCUUUGAUACUGGUUAUCUUGAGUCAUUAUGAAGUGGUUAGAAUGUGUAGUGUAGCGGUGAAAUGCAUAGAUAUUACACAGAAUACCGAUUGCGAAGGCAGAUCACUAAUAAUGUACUGACACUGAUGGACGAAAGCGUGGGGAGCGAACAGGAUUAGAUACCCUGGUAGUCC
rnacentral:rRNA from 1 species